AGAAAGUGCGCGAAGGAGAUGAAAAUUUGGGCAAUCUUCUCCCUGGCCGAGUCCAAAUCCCCCUCUCCUAACGCAGAGAGCUUCCCAGAUCUGGGGCGUGCCCAGCUCCGGCCAGCCAAGCUUCUCUGCCACCGAGGUCGUCACUUCUCUUCCCUCCCUCUGACCCCCAUACCACCGCCUGCUAGGGUUUCUCCUUUGAUGUCGCCGCCGCCGCCCGUCCGAUCUCGGGCCACCAGAGUCCCUCCUCUACUCUGACCGGUGGAUUGGGAUCCGCCUCCUCUUGACAACUUCGUCCAGAGCUUUGCCCUCCCGUUGCAAAGCUGCCCCUCCCCUCAAAGAUUGGAAGCCACCUGAGCUGCCUCUCCCAUCGCUUGGGUGUUGCUUCACCAAUGACUCCCCGAGAUGUCCUUCCUGCCGCCGACCCUGCAGCACCACCGAAGCCCAACUACCUCUCCUCCCUACAUCGAGUACAUCUUCGCCACUGACACCGCCGUUCUACUUAUCCUUCCCUCCCCCGUCGAGGCUCCACCUUAGCUCCAUGGGUUCUCUGGUUCGGAUACAGGACGGAGCGUCUCCAAACCAGUCCCAAUCUACUCAGGAAGGAGUCUUGAUCUCCCAUGGAUGCUAUUCUCUAUUGAGGUUAUUAUAUGAAGAUUACCGUCUCUAUAAGUGCAUGUCUCUGUAAGUGCAUCUGGCUCUGCUCCAGCUAUAUACGUCAAUUUUUAUGUGAGGACACAUGUUUAACAUGGUAAUUAAUAUCCCAGGGUAAUGUUUUGGGGAACAAUUUGCUAUUGCAAAAAAUGCUGUUUAUUUUAUGAUCAUGUAGGGCACAUUUGAUUUAGUUCAAAAUACAGUUCAUGGGAUUCUGAAAGUUCUAUCAAACGAACCAUCGCGCGCUAUAUAGAUGUGUUACUGUUUGCAGAUAUGAUUGUCUCUGUUGUAGACUUAACACAUUUGAUUUUUUUUCACGGAACUGUUGUUUGCUAUAUAAAUACAACAUCACCUUCCAAUUCUCCCGGAGAAUUAUAGUUUGCUGUAUAAAUACAUGUCUUGUGUACAUUCAAUUUAACAUAAUUCUGUGGCUAUCAAUCGCAAUGGUGGCAACGAUAUUCAGUUUGAUGUUACUGGCAAGCCACAUGUACUCUUUUUGUCUAACAUAAGAGAAUUUGUACGGAAGAUAGCAAAACCAUCAUAACCUGCAGGUUACGGCUAUCCUAUUUAGGCCAGUAAGCUAUACACUUAUCCUAUUUCUCUAUUCAGAAUCAGAAUGGCAUAGCUUCUCAGUUCAUACAGUAUUUUGCUUAAAUUAGAAAAUUUUCCUACAAGCAAUACAUUUAAUAUCUCACUAUGCAAAUCAGUUGCAGUGCAGGGGAUGGUCUGUUUUCCUAUGCAUCUGCCAACCACCCCUGCCAUCUAUUUUGCUAAUAAAUUUCUUUUUUUAAUUCUUUUUACAAGGUUGAUCAAAUCAGAUGAUAAGGUAAAAGAACUCCUCUUUUAUUUCAUAGAUGGAUAUAUAAAUCCAAUGUUUGCUCGACACAUCCAUUAAAUUAUCAUAAAUAUGGAAGAUGUAAGAUGCUAAUUCGUUGAAGUUACACAAUGAUUAAUUUUUCCUGUAUUGCAACCUGGUGUGUGAGAGAACACAUACCAUUCUAUGUUUUAUCCCCAUCAAAUCGUAUAGGCAAAAGGCAUUGUAUGUUUGGUUAAGUUCAUGUGCUGUGGAGAAGCAAAAUUGGUUGAGCCCAACACCAAAAUAUUAAUCUUUGUACAUUUUCUAGUGAUUAGUGCAACGAACUUUAUCAAUGAACUUGACCAAUAUUAUUUCCUCGAGAUGAAUUAAUUCUGGUCCAGAUCAUAUUGUAUCCUUGUUAGGAAUUGUUAGGCCUAUUCACUAUAAUCCUGAGCCCGUUCUUGAUUUCUUUGUGUUCAAACUCUUUACUUAUCACUGGAUUACCUUCUCCGUUUGUAGGAACAUGUUCUUACGGGUGGUCAUGGUCUGUUGGUUGAUGGACACUAACUUAUAAUUCACGCUCUUGCUCAAGGUCAUAAUCGGAGGUGUAGCAAAUCAAGCAGAACCUGCAGAUAAUUGGCCUGACCAACAACACAUGUACAUUCUGAUUUAGUUAUACUGUUAGCUGUAGCAAACUUUAGCUAUAGUUUACUUCUUGAAUCCUAGCUGUACAUUGACCAUGAGUGGGAUGUAUGUGUAAUUGAACAAGAAUCUGAUGUGUACAUUGAA